rnacentral:SRP_RNA from 1 species
GUCGGGCAUGGUGGCCCGUGCCUGUAGUCCCAGCUACUGGGGAGGCUGAGGCUGGAGGAUCUCUUGAGUCCAGGAGUUCUGGGCUGUAGUGUGCUAUGCCGAUCGGGUGUCCGCGCUAAGUUCGGCAUCAAUAUGGUGACCUCCCGGAAGCGGGAACCACCAGCUUGCCUAAGGAGGGGUGAACUGGCCCAGGUCGGUCAGAAACGGAGCAGGUCAAAACUCCUGUGCUGAUCAGUAGUGGGAUGGCACCUGUGAAUAGCCACUGGGCAACAUAGCAAGACCCUGUCUCU